AGAGUUUGAUCCUAGCUCAGAGUGAGCGCUGGCGGUGCGCCUAACACAUGCAAGUCGCGCGAGGAGCAAUCCUAGCGGCGGACGGCUGCGUAACACGUUGGUACCUACCUCGAAUUCAGGGAUAACACCGCGAAAGCGGUGCUAAUACCGGAUAGUCCCGAAAGGGUAAAGCUUCGGCGAUUCGAGAGGGGCCUGCGGCCUAUCAGUUAGUUGGUGAGGUAACGGCUCACCAAGACGAUGACGGGUAGCUGAUCUGAGAGGAUGAUCAGCCAGAAUGGGACUGAGACACGGCCCAUACUCCUACGGGAGGCAGCAGUGAGGAAUCUUCCGCAAUGGGCGAAAGCCUGACGGAGCGACACCGCGUGGAGGAUGAAGCCCUUUCCGGGCGUAAACUCCUGUUCUGAGGGACGAAAUUUUUGACGGUACCUCAGGAGAAAGCAUCGGCUAACCCUGUGCCAGCAGCCGCGGUAAGACAGGGGAUGCAAGCGUUACUCGGAAUUACUGGGCGUAAAGCGUCUGCAGGUGUCUUGAUAAGUCUGGUGUUAAAUGUCGGAGCUCAACUCCGCACAAUGUGCCGGAAACUAUCGAGAUUGAGUCAUUCAGAGGCAUCUGGAAUGUCGUGUGGAGGGGUAAAAUCCGUAGAUCCACGAUGGAACGCCAAAAGCGAAGGCAGGAUGCUGGGAAUGUACUGACACUCAGAGACGAAAGCGUGGGGAGCAAAGGGGAUUAGAUACCCCCGUAGUCCACGCCCUAAACGAUGCGGGCUCGGUGUAGGAGCGUACAAUUGCUCCUGUGCCCAUGCUAACGCGGUAAGCCCGCCGCCUGGGAAGUACGGCCGCAAGGCUAAAACCCAAAGGAAUAGACGGGGACCCACACAAGCGGUGGAACAUGGGGUUUAAUUCGGUGGUAAGCGAAGAACCUCACCCAGACUUGACAUCUAUGGAAUCUCUUAGAAAUAAGGGAGUGCCGCAAGGAACCAUAAGACAGGCGAUGCACGGUCGUCGUCAGCUCGUGCCUUGAGGUGUACUGUUAAGUCAGCGAACGAGCGCAACCCUCAUCUUAUGUUGUUUUUUCAUAAGAGACUGCCGCCUCCAAGGCGGAGGAAGGUGGGGAUGACGUCAGAUCAGCGUGUCCUUUAUGUCUGGGGCGACACCCAUGUUACAAUGGUCGAUACAAAGGGUAGCCAAGCCGAAAGGUGGAGCCAAUCCCAUCAAAAUCGACCUCAGUUCGGAUUGAAGUCUGCAACUCGACUUCAUGAGGUUGGAAUCGCUAGUAACCGUGGAUCAGCCACGCCGCGGUGAAUAUGUUCCUGGGUCUUGUACUCACCGCCCGUCAACUCAUGGAAGGCAGAAGCACCCGAAGCGCCUUUACCUUAAUUGGGAGGCACCACGGUGACGCUGCUGACUGGGAGUAAGUCGUAACAAGGUA
rnacentral:rRNA from 1 species